CUUUCAUUUUUCCUCCAUGAACGCAGAGGGCCAGGCCCCAUGAGGACCUCGCCUUGUGCUGGCUUCGAGGGGAAGCGUGGCCCCUAGCCACGGGGGUGGGGUGCGAGUGAAUGGGCUGGCACUUGGCUCACUUCACUUGAAAGCUCAGAGGCUGCCACAGAUGCCGAUCUCAGGCAAGAACAGCAUCCUGGGACUAGGAUUCAAAUGAGGAAAGAUGCUGUCUCAACUUGGCCUUUUGCCCUGGUAUGCAUUCUUAUGACUGCUCCUGUCAUCAUGACGAGAAGAGAAACUUCACAAGUGACUGGAUAGUCCUGAGUAGCAUUAGGGAUUCACCUACGUGGGAUGGGUUUUAACUAGCACAAAGGACCCUGUAAGUAGGAACAUUCAAAGGCAAUUAGUUGGUAACAAUAUUAUAAAUAGAAAAGGAG